AUUGAACGCUGGCGGCAUGCCUUACACAUGCAAGUCGAACGGCAGCACGGGUGCUUGCACCUGGUGGCGAGUGGCGAACGGGUGAGUAAUGCAUCGGAACGUACCCGGAAGUGGGGGAUAACGUAGCGAAAGUUACGCUAAUACCGCAUAUUCUGUGAGCAGGAAAGAGGGGGAUCGCAAGACCUCUCGCUUUCGGAGCGGCCGAUGUCGGAUUAGCUAGUUGGCGGGGUAAGAGCCCACCAAGGCGACGAUCCGUAGCGGGUCUGAGAGGAUGAUCCGCCAAACUGGGACUGAGACACGGCCCAGACUCCUACGGGAGGCAGCAGUGGGGAAUUUUGGACAAUGGGUGCAAGCCUGAUCCAGCCAUGCCGCGUGAGUGAAGAAGGCCUUCGGGUUGUAAAGCUCUUUCGGCUGGGAAGAAAUCGCAUCUCCUAAUACGGGGUGUGGAUGACGGUACCAGCAUAAGAAGCACCGGCUAACUACGUGCCAGCCGCCGCAGUAAUAC
rnacentral:rRNA from 1 species